UAGCACUCAUAUAAAAAAGGA
rnacentral:piRNA from 1 species